GACGAACGCUGGCGGCGUGCUUAACACAUGCAAGUCGAACGGAAAGGCCCUGCUUUUGUGGGGUGCUCGAGUGGCGAACGGGUGAGUAACACGUGAGUAACCUGCCCUUGACUUUGGGAUAACUUCAGGAAACUGGGGCUAAUACCGGAUAGGAGCUCCUGCUGCAUGGGGGGGGUUGGAAAGUUUCGGCGGUUGGGGAUGGACUCGCGGCUUAUCAGCUUGUUGGUGGGGUAGUGGCUUACCAAGGCUUUGACGGGUAGCCGGCCUGAGAGGGUGACCGGCCACAUUGGGACUGGGAUACGGCCCAGACUCCUACGGGAGGCAGCAGUGGGGAAUAUUGCACAAUGGGCGGAAGCCUGAUGCAGCAACGCCGCGUGCGGGAUGACGGCCUUCGGGUUGUAAACCGCUUUCGCCUGUGACGAAGCGUGAGUGACGGUAAUGGGUAAAGAAGCACCGGCUAACUACGUG
rnacentral:rRNA from 1 species